ensembl:lncRNA novel transcript
GGAAGGGAGGAAGCGUAGAAGGUGCCGAUGCACUUUUCCUCUCUCCAGCCCUCCUGACUGCUCCAAGAAUUUCAUCGAACAAGACUCAAAGAGGCCCAGCUGCUCUGCGUUUUGAUUCUUCUCCCUCUCUCAGUCCACACUGACCUGGGAGGGGCUUCUCAAACACCACAUUUCCUAGCGUGCUGUGAGAAGAGGACUGUGAGCUAAGAAGGGAGAAAAGGCACUCCCUCCUCAUCAACAAACACCUGACCUGGGUAGACCCUCUGCUUACCAAGAUCCAGUCCACCUUUUGACAUCAGCAUUCAUGCUGCCUCUUUUUACGAACCAAGCCAAAGUGGUCCCUUCCUCUGGAAAUUAUAGGAUACUUAAUGUACAUCAUAUCCAGGUGGGCGGUUCUCCACUGGCUACAAACAUCCAGCUUUGACUGUCUGACCCAGCCCCCUUUCCAGCCUCCAGUCCUACCACGGCACCUGACACCGGCUACAUCAAACUCCUGGAGCAACCAGAACUCAAGGCCCUUUUUCACUUCCCUCUGUUUGGAACAUCCUUCCUCUACCUUUAGAAUUCACUGUCUCUCUUCCUGCAAGACUCAGCUCAAAUGUCCCCUCCUCCAGGAAACAUCAUUUUCCCCACUGGCUAUCCACAGUACAUUAUCAUGGCUCCUGUUGUUUCCAUGUCUCUCUGCCAGCUUCACAGUGAGCCCUUGAUGGUAUGGAUUCUGAUCCCCCCAAGUAUAAUUUAACAUUGUACUUCUCAGUCAUAGGAGAUAGUAGGUGCAUAAUAAAUAUGUAGUAAA